rnacentral:rRNA from 1 species
CGGACGGGUGAGUAACGCGUGAGAAUCUGCCUUCAGGAUGGGGAUAACAGCGGGAAACUGCUGCUAAUACCCAAUGUGCCGAGAGGUGAAAGUAUUUCGCCUGAAGAGGAGCUCGCGUCUGAUUAGCUAGUUGGUGUGGUAAGAGCGCACCAAGGCAACGAUCAGUAGCUGGUCUGAGAGGAUGAGCAGCCACACUGGGACUGAGACACGGCCCAGACUCCUACGGGAGGCAGCAGUGGGGAAUUUUCCGCAAUGGGCGAAAGCCUGACGGAGCAAUACCGCGUGAGGGAAGAAGGUUCAAGUAAUUGUAAACCUCUUUUAUCAGGGAAGAAAAAAAUGACGUUACCUGAAGAAAAAGCAUCGGCUAACUCCGUGCCAGCAGCCGCGGUAAUACGGAGGAUGCAAGCGUUAUCCGGAAUUAUUGGGCGUAAAGCGUCCGCAGGUGGUGAAACAAGUCUGCUGUCAAAGACUAGAGCUUAACUCUGGGAAGGCGGUGGAAACUGUAGCACUAGAGACCGGUAGGGGUAGAGGGAAUUCCCAGUGUAGCGGUGAAAUGCGUAGAGAUUGGGAAGAACACCAGUGGCGAAAGCGCUCUACUGGGCCGGAACUGACACUAAGGGACGAAAGCUAGGGGAGCGAAAGGGAUUAGAUACCCCUCCUGAA